UAGCUCAGCGGCAUAAGCACCUGCCUUGCAAGCAGGCGGUCCUGGGUUCGAUCCCCGG
rfam:Cavia porcellus supercont2_41 genomic scaffold, whole genome shotgun sequence.